UUAAAAACUUUAGCGCCAUGUACCAAUUAUCCAUAAUUGGUUGACGAGGUUUCAAGUUAUCGAAUUAUUCGGCGGAUGCUUGAACGUUUUUAUAUGGGAACGCAUGUAGUAACAAACAACAAGGUAACUUAUUAACAAAAAGCUACAUCCAUAUAAAU
rnacentral:ncRNA from 1 species